GCAUUGCUCUUGAUCUUGAUUCAUCUGCUGCCUGCUUAAUUUGGUGGAACACUAGCUGCCUCUAUCCUCUUCCAUAUUGGAGACAAGUAUUUAUGUCUACUUAUUUGGUUUUUUUGUCUGAUCUAUGAUCUUGUUGGGUGGAUUUCAUCUGGUCGCUGAAGCUGAGACUAGUCGAAAUGUCGAAUCAUUUGCUGUCUCUCUCGACUAGAUGGUUCAUUUGGUUGAUUGCUUGCUGAUUGUCCUUGGAUUUAUGACUGCUUGUUUCUUUGCCGGUCCCGAUCAUUGGUUAUAUAGAUUCCGUACUCAGGCACUCAUGCUAACGCUGAUGUGGCUUCUUUCAACAAGCGAUCACAUUCGUCCCUCGAUUCUGAAGAUCAGAUUUCUUUUCAUACGUCAUCUUCAUAUUCGGUAAGGAUGCUUAAUUAAGGAAGAGUUGCAGCUGCUUCAGGAACCCGGAUCCUACGUUGGUGAAGUUGUCAAAGUAAUGGAAAAAUCAAAAGUUCUAGUCAAGGUUCAUGCCGCCGUGGUGCCAUGCACAUUAAAUAUUCAUGACAAGUAUAUGUAUAGUUUUGCGUAUAUAUGUGGUUAACUCGUGUUAUAAUUUUCUUUCAUCAUGGAUUUUUGCAAAUGACUAAGUAAUAAAUUAUAAUA